rnacentral:sRNA from 1 species
CAGUCUCAAAGCAUAAGCAGAUGUAUGCUUGCAUACACAUCUGCUUAUGGUUUAGAGACGAUAACGGAAAUGAGCAAGCAGGCUGACAAGCCGGAUUGCGAAUUUACGUCGAAUUGCGAGAAUGCGGAGCAUGGAGCAAUUCGGGGU